AAACAAUUCUCUGUAAUGCCAGCCUUCAUUUCUCUUAAGCAAAACAGAGCAUUAAGCAAAUUCAGAACUAUCCAGCAAUAUCAACAGCUGAAGAGAUCAAAGACAGCUCAAAAAAUGUUUAUAAGCUAUUAAAGAUGACUAAUUUUCGGCCUAAUGCAAUUUAAACUUCAUUUAACUUUCACAAUCUCUCUCUUGUUAGUAAACAGAACCCAAUAAAUUUAAUACGCACAGUAAAUUCUAGACUUCUACUUACCUGAAAGAAAUAGAAAUAGAAAUG
rnacentral:misc_RNA from 1 species